GCAUUGGUAUUUCAGUGGCAGAAUUGCCACCUUCCAUGUGGGAAACCCAGAUUCAAUUCCCAGCCAAUGCA
rnacentral:tRNA from 1 species